CCGUGCAGCCGGGGAGUCAGCGGUGCCCUGUACCUGCAAUCCGCUACAGCAGGGGUGAUGCCAAUCCGAGGCUUGCAUCUUGCAAGGCUGGCUUUGAUAAGUGGCAAUGACGACCGGGUCUUGCGCAACAGGACUCCAUGAACCGUGUCAGGACCGGAAGGUAGCAGCACUAAGUGGAACCCCCUGUGUGCCGCAAGGGCGCCUGGUCUGAGUCAACUGUCAGGGUAACGCUUGUGAAUGCCUGUCGAAGUGCGGCGCACGG
rnacentral:SRP_RNA from 1 species